rnacentral:rRNA from 1 species
AUUGAACGCUGGCGGCAUGCCUUACACGUGCAAGUCGAACGGCAGCGGACCUUCGGGUGCCGGCGAGUGGCGAACGGGUGAGUAAUAUAUCGGAACGUACCUUUCAGUGGGGGAUAACGUAGCGAAAGUUACGCUAAUACCGCAUAUUCUGUGAGCAGGAAAGCAGGGGAUCGCAAGACCUUGCGCUGAUUGAGCGGCCGAUAUCAGAUUAGCUAGUUGGUGAGGUAAAGGCUCACCAAGGCGACGAUCUGUAGCGGGUCUGAGAGGAUGAUCCGCCACACUGGAACUGAGACACGGUCCAGACUCCUACGGGAGGCAGCGGUGGGGAAUUUUGGACAAUGGGCGCAAGCCUGAUCCAGCCAUGCCGCGUGAGUGAAGAAGGCCUCGGUUGUAA